AGGUCUUCGGAUGCUGACGAGUGGCGAACGGGUGAGUAAUACAUCGGAACGUGCCCGAUCGUGGGGGAUAACGAAGCGAAAGCUUUGCUAAUACCGCAUACGAUCUACGGAUGAAAGCAGGGGACCGCAAGGCCUUGCGCGAACGGAGCGGCCGAUGGCAGAUUAGGUAGUUGGUGGGAUAAAAGCUUACCAAGCCGACGAUCUGUAGCUGGUCUGAGAGGACGACCAGCCACACUGGGACUGAGACACGGCCCAGACUCCUACGGGAGGCAGCAGUGGGGAAUUUUGGACAAUGGGCGCAAGCCUGAUCCAGCCAUGCCGCGUGCAGGAUGAAGGCCUUCGGGUUGUAAACUGCUUUUGUACGGAACGAAAAGACUCUGGUUAAUACCUGGGGUCCAUGACGGUACCGUAAGAAUAAGCACCGGCUAACUACGUGCCAGCAGCCGCGGUAAUACGUAGGGUGCAAGCGUUAAUCGGAAUUACUGGGCGUAAAGCGUGCGCAGGCGGUUAUAUAAGACAGAUGUGAAAUCCCCGGGCUCAACCUGGGAACUGCAUUUGUGACUGUAUGGCUAGAGUACGGCAGAGGGGGAUGGAAUUCCGCGUGUAGCAGUGAAAUGCGUANAUAUGCGGAGGAACACCGAUGGCGAAGGCAAUCC
rnacentral:rRNA from 1 species